rnacentral:rRNA from 1 species
GAUGAACGCUAGCGGAAGGCAUAAUACAUGCAAGUCGAACGGAUGUAGCAAUACAUUAGUGGCGCACGGGUGCGUAACGCGUAUGCAACCUACCUUCAUCAGGGGGAUAACUACUCGAAAGGGUGGCUAACACCGCAUAAUACUACUGAAUGGCAUCAUUUGGUAUUUAAAUCUGAGGAGGAUGAAGAUGGGCAUGCGUCUGAUUAGCUAGUUGGUGUGGUAACGGCGCACCAAGGCGACGAUCAGUAGGGGAACUGAGAGGUUGGUCCCCCACACUGGCACUGAGAUACGGGCCAGACUCCUACGGGAGGCAGCAGUAGGGAAUAUUGGUCAAUGGUGGGAACACUGAACCAGCCAUUCCGCGUGCAGGAAGAAGGGUCUCUGACUUGUAAACUGCUUUAGCAAGGGAAGAAAAAGCUCAUGCGUGAGAAAUUGACGGUACCUUGAGAAUAAGCACCGGCUAACUACGUGCCAGCAGCCGCAGUAA